rnacentral:rRNA from 1 species
AUUGAACGCUGGCGGCAGGCCUAACACAUGCAAGUCGAGCGGAUGAAGGGAGCUUGCUCCUGGAUUCAGCGGCGGACGGGUGAGUAAUGCCUAGGAAUCUGCCUGGUAGUGGGGGAUAACGUCCGGAAACGGGCGCUAAUACCGCAUACGUCCUGAGGGAGAAAGUGGGGGGUCUUCGGACCUCACGCUAUCAGAUGAGCCUAGGUCGGAUUAGCUAGUUGGUGGGGUAAAGGCCUACCAAGGCGACGAACCGUAACUGGUCUGAGAGGAUGAUCAGUCACACUGGCACUGAGACACGGUCCAGACUCCUACGGGAGGCAGCAGUCGGGAAUAUUGGACAAUGGGCGAAAGCCUGAUCCAGCCCUGCCGCGUGUGUGAAGAAGGUCUUCGGAUUGUAAAGCACUUUAAGUUGGGAGGAAGGGCAGUAAGUUAAUACCUUGCUGUUUUGACGUUACCGACAGAAUAAGCACCGGCUAACUUCGUG